AACGAACGCUGGCGGCAGGCUUAACACAUGCAAGUCGAACGCCCCGCAAGGGGAGUGGCAGACGGGUGCGUAACGCGUGGGCACAUACCCUUUCCUGCGGAAUAGCUCCGGGAAACUGGAAUUAAUACCGCAUACGCCCUACGGGGGAAAGAUUUAUCGGGGAAGGAUUGGCCCGCGUUGGAUUAGCUAGUUGGUGGGGUAAAGGCCUACCAAGGCGACGAUCCAUAGCUGGUCUGAGAGGAUGAUCAGCCACAUUGGGACUGAGACACGGCCCAAACUCCUACGGGAGGCAGCAGUGGGGAAUAUUGGACAAUGGGCGCAAGCCUGAUCCAGCCAUGCCGCGUGAGUGAUGAAGGCCUUAGGGUUGUAAAGCUCUUUCACCGAUGAAGAUAAUGACGGUAGUCGGAGAAGAAGCCCCGGCUAACUUCGUG
rnacentral:rRNA from 1 species